rnacentral:rRNA from 1 species
CGGGGAAUCAGGGUUCGAUUCCGGAGAGGGAGCCCGAGAAACGGCUACCACUUCCAAGGAAGGCAGCAGGCGCGCAACUUACCCUAAUCUCGAUUCGAGGAGGUAGUGACAAGAAAUACCGAUGCGGGACCCUACGGGUGCCGCGUUCGGAAUGAGUACGAUUCGAACCACCUAACGAGGAACGAUCGGAGGGCAAGUCUGGUGCCAGCAGCCGCGGUAAUUCCAGCUCCAAUAGCGUACGUUAAAGUUGCUGCAGUUAAAAAGCUCGUAGUUGAACGUUCGGGUUCCGCGGGACGGGGCCGCCCCGCGAGGGACGGCGCCGCCCCGGGGCUCGUGAUAUCUCAUCUCGCCGCCCGUCGCGAGGCGGACGGAGGGAUGGAUGAGGUUACCUGGAAAAAAAUCGGGGCGAUCUAGGCGGGCGAACCUCGCCAACGAACGAUCGGACAUGGG